rnacentral:rRNA from 1 species
GAUGUCGACUUGGAGGUUGUUCCCUUGAGGAGUGGCUUCCGGAGCUAACGCGUUAAGUCGACCGCCUGGGGAGUACGGCCGCAAGGUUAAAACUCAAAUGAAUUGACGGGGGCCCGCACAAGCGGUGGAGCAUGUGGUUUAAUUCGAUGCAACGCGAAGAACCUUACCUACUCUUGACAUCCACAGAAUUNNGCAGAGAUGCNUUAGUGCCUUCGGGAACCGUGAGACAGGUGCUGCAUGGCUGUCGUCAGCUCGUGUUGUGAAAUGUUGGGUUAAGUCCCGCAACGAGCGCAACCCUUAUCCUUUGUUGCCAGCGCGUGAUGGCGGGAACUCAAAGGAGACUGCCGGUGAUAAACCGGAGGAAGGUGGGGAUGACGUCAAGUCAUCAUGGCCCUUACGAGUAGGGCUACACACGUGCUACAAUGGCGCAUACAAAGAGAAGCGACCUCGCGAGAGCAAGCGGACCUCACAAAGUGCGUCGUAGUCCGGAUCGGAGUCUGCAACUCGACUCCGUGAAGUCGGAAUCGCUAGUAAUCGUGGAUCAGAAUGCCACGGUGAAUACGUUCCCGGGCCUUGUACACACCGCCCGUCACACCAUGGGAGUGGGUUGCAAAAGAAGUAGGUAGCUUAACCUUCGGGAGGGCGCUUACCACUUUGUGAUUCAUGACUGGGGUGAAGUCG